rnacentral:misc_RNA from 1 species
ACGCAAGUCAUCUUUGCCCACUGUUAAAUCAUCAAAGCGCCCUGUAAAUUUCUCUGACAGUGAGAGAGAAGAGUCUGAAUAUGAAAGUGAUGGGGUGGAAUUCGAGAGGUCUCCCACCUGGAAAAGGGCUGAGGAGCCAGAGCAGGAUUAUGAAGAAGAGGAAGAAGAGGAGGAAGAACGCUAUGAAGAAGAGGCAGAAGUGGAUGGAGCAUCAGAAGAGGAAGAGGAGGCUGAGGAGCCAAAGCAAAAGUCCAAGGAGGUUGGAGGCAGUCACAAACGAGCAGGGAUUGAAUCAGAUGAGGAAUCCCCUCCAAGAAAGAUUUCAACCCACCGAAGAAUGGCAGUUGUUUAUGACAGUGACGAGGAAUGAAUGCUUCCUUGAGUUGAUUUUAGUAAAAUUUUAUAUUUUCGUCCAUGAUUAUUGUUUAUAAUGUUUUGAAAUUUAUAUAUAUUUGUAUUGACUUUUUCAAUAUUAGUCCAUGGAGAUGUUUAAUUGCGACAACACUAAAAUUUUUAAAUUAAAAAAAAAAGGGUCUCGGAGGAUAAUUGCAAUUAACAAGAAAAGACAGGCAAUUAAAAGUUGCUUUGUUUCGUGAAGGGAAGGUGCUGCCCUCAAAAGUGCACGUGUGAGAAGCAGAAUCAAGCUGACAAUCAAAUUUAAAUUUGGAUAUUGUAAAUUAUUCAUUCGUGUGUGGAUGUUUUGCACCAAAGUACGGCGAACGCGCUGGUCGGUAAUCAAGUAAUUUUAAACAUUAAUCAGAGUCAAUAUUAUGAUCA